GCGGGAGUAAUUCAGUUGGUAGAAUGUCAGCUUCCCAAGCUGGAAGUCGCGGGUUCGAAUCCCGUCUCCCGCU
rnacentral:tRNA from 1 species